GCGCCCUAAGAUAAACCCAAGGAUAAUCCAGCAGUGAAAAGCCACGGAGUCCAAAGUUUUCAGGGCUGAACUCGCAAGAACCUGUGAACUUCCAGCAUUUCCCCAGUUAAAAGAAAACAAAUAAGGGCAGAAGAAAUAAGAAAGAAAAAAGAGAAAUGCACCUCCAUGCUCAUGGCAACAAUCACGUGACCCGGUGCCCCAGGUUUCCAAGGAGCUGAUCUGCAUGUACACAGGUAGUGUUCCCAGGCACGGAGGACGCAAAUGGGCUCGCAGUUCAUUAAACAGCAAGUGGGCCCCAGGAGACAGUAGCCUCCUGUAAAGAAAAGAACCAGAGGUCCAGAAAAUUUCCUGCCCUUGCUGCCAGCUCCCAACCACCGAGUGUAUUCUACUCAAAACUACCUGAAUGAUCGUUCCAGAGGACGAGGAUGCUCUGUCUUCCUCCAUGUCCUGGUCGUGCUUGCAGAGUAAAGACCAAGAUCCGGAAGAUCGCUCUGCCGUCUUCUCUCCAUUCUAACACAGUAACCAACUGAUUAGCAAAGAAGUAAUUUCCUACCAUCCUAAGAGCAUCCUACUCCUCUCUCACACAAAACUCAGUUCACCAGGCAGUACGACUGUAGCCCUUAAUUCCCCCUCUCCCUCCAUUUGUCAUCUCCUUCUCUGGCUAACUAAAUCGUAGGGGUCCAAAUGGGCUUGCUCUUCCCGAAGCCUAAAAAAUACUCUGAAAAGUUGGAAGGCAGCUCACAGCACUCAAAAAAGGAUCUUUAAAACCGUGUUUUAGGAAUUUAAUCUGCUUUGGUAAAUGUAACCUUAAACGCCAUCUUUAAAAUAACAGCCUGAUAAACGUGUAUUCUUGCUACUGUCAGAGACAGACAAUGGUUAUGGUAAAUAGAUCAGCUCAGAGGCAAACGCAGGUCUUAAAUUAGAACCACGCAGCCUCCACUCUCCUCUCGCCCCGGAGCCUCCUCGGUUCUCACAAUUGCCUCUGCCGUGGGGGGACAUAAUCAGAUUACGAAGUUGUCUGAUGGACUGAGCUGCAGUAAGCCUGUACUCUCCCUUGCCCUAUCUACUCGGUUCCAGUGGCCUCGUCUUUAGGAAAGCAGGUGGUUCUGUGUGACAAUGGUUCU